rnacentral:rRNA from 1 species
GACGAACGCUGGCAGCGUGCUUAACACAUGCAAGUCGAGCGGUAAGGCCCUUUCGGGGGUACACGAGCGGCGAACGGGUGAGUAACACGUGGGUGACCUGCCCUCCACUCUGGGAUAAGCCCGGGAAACUGGGUCUAAUACCGGAUAGGACCAUUGGAUGCAUGUCUGGUGGUGGAAAGUUUUUUCGGUGGGGGAUGGGCCCGCGGCCUACCAGCUUGUUGGUGGGGUGAUGGCCUACCAAGGCGGUUACGGGUAGCCGGCCUGAGAGGGCGACCGGCCACACUGGGACUGAGACACGGCCCAGACUCCUACGGGAGGCAGCAGUGGGGAAUAUUGCGCAAUGGGCGGAAGCCUGACGCAGCGACGCCGCGUGGGGGAUGACGGCCUUCGGGUUGUAAACCUCUUUCGCCAGGGACGAAGCUAACGUGACGGUACCUGGAGAAGGAGCACCGGCCAACUACGUGCCAGCAGCCGCAGUAA